rnacentral:sRNA from 1 species
AUAUUGGAAGUAUAGAACCUAUAAAGAAUAUUUCUCGAAUGUAAUUUAACAGUUAAGGGUUAAUUAGUUAAAAUUAGAAUUCAAAGAGUGAGAAGUUUCGAAUAGUUGCGGUGGUUAGGACGGACAAAUCCUUUUACGAUUUAAACCGUUUUUUGUUUACCAUUCAUAAGCUAUAAUCCGUAGUAGUAUGGAUUGAGAAAAUAGAACAAGUCUGCAUCGGACUAACUAUGUACUGCUUUUACAUAUAAAAAAACUUGGUCUGUGGUUGUUUGUUGUCUGCUUCAAAAAUAAAGUGAUAUGUUUCGUUAGCGGUUUAGUUCACUUUUUUCAUUGCAUUCAUUCAAAACCUAAAACAUAAACUGUGAAACGCAUAAAGUUUUUAUUCGUGAAAUUUUUUGGUCAUUCUGAUGAUAAAUUUGGUCGAAUCAUCAUUAAAUAUAUCAUUUAAACGUCAUUAAAUUAACGAUGAAUUAACUAAGUGUUUACCAACUAAUUAUCAACGAUAAUUUUAUCAGUAUAUCAUAAAUUUGUUAUGUAUACGUUACCAUUUCGAGUUUAAAUGGUGAUAAUAGUCGAGAUGGACAUAUUCAUCAACGGUUUAGUAUGUUCUAUUUUUACUGCAGACAAUAAACUGUCGCGUCGCAGACCAACUCUAUUUGUAUGUUAAAGCGGUUCGUAGCUAGUUCACAACAAACUUUUUAAGAAAAAAAUCUCUGCUUACAAUACACAAUUUAUAAAU